CGUGAGUUGUUAUUCUUCAAUUCUUUGGCGGACUGUAGGAUGUUGCAAUAUCUACAAGUGGGUUCCAAUCCGUUAAAUGGCGUUCUUCCCAAUUCUAUUGGAAAUCUUUCAUCUACUAUUGAAAACUUUUAUAUAGUAGAUGCACACAUCAAUGGCCUCAUCCCCAAAAGUAUAGGCAACAUGACUGGUCUUACAUCCCUAAGCCUUGACGGAAACAACUUGACAGGGAGUAUUCCUUCUGAGAUUGGUAAGCUUAAACAACUCCAAGGGCUGUAUCUAGAUAACAAUAAAUUGAAGGGACAUAUUCCAGAGGCCGUAUGCCAUUUAUCUAAUUUGGUUCAAUUAUUUCUGAAUGUUAAUGAGCUCUCUGGAUUAAUUCCAGAAUGCAUAGGAAAUCUUAGCAUGCUACAAUAUCUUUAUUUGGGUUCUAAUAAAUUUUCAUCAAAAUUUACGUUGAACCUUUGGAAGAUGAGUGGUCUUCUCUAUCUAGACGUAUCACAGAAUUCAAUGGAGGGAGAAGUUCCAUCAGAUAUUGGAGCACUGAAAGCCAUUGUAGAACUACAUCUUUCCAGUAACCACUUUUCAGGAAUGAUUCCAAGCACAUUCGGGGAACUCCAAAACCUACAGUAUCUUGACCUGUCGAACAAUUCAUUUUUUGGCAAAAUUCCAUUAUCCUUUGCCAACUUGAUAAGCUUAGAAUACUUGGAUUUGUCUUCAAAUGACUUGUCAGGUACUAUUCCUAUGUCUUUGGAAAAACUCUCCUACCUUAAAAGCAUUAAUGUUUCAUUUAAUGAUUUAGAAGGUGAAAUACCGAGUGGUGGCGUGUUUGCAAAUUCCACUUUGCAAUCAUUUCUCGGGAACAAAGGUCUUUGUGGAAUGCACAUAUUGGAGAUUCCUGCUUGUGCUAUCACUAAUCCUGGAAAACAAUCAAAGCUUAAGGAGGUUGUGCUAACAAUUGUUACUCCAGUGGUUAUUGCAUCCUUUCUGAUAUUCUUGUUCGUUUCAAUUUGGAUAAUGAAACGACAGAAGAAAGGGAUGUCCAAAGAUGUUGAAAAGGUAUUGGAGAUCGGGACUCAUCAAUUAGUUUCUUAUCACGAGAUUCAACGAGCAACAAAUAAUUUUUGAUGAAUCCAAUUUAAUUGGUGAGGGAAGCUCUGGCUCUGUGUACAAAGGAACAUUGUUUGGUGGAACUGCAGUGGCCAUUAAGGUUCUGGAUUUGGAAAAUGAGCAAGUAUGCAAGAGGUUUGAUACCGAAUGUGAAGUGAUGAGAAAUGUUAGACACAGAAAUCUUGUUUCAGUGAUUACUACAUGUUCUAGUGACUAUAUAAGAGCCUUUGUUCUGCAAUUUAUGCCCAAUGGAAGUCUUGAGAAUUGGCUGUACAAAGAAGAUCGCCACUUGAACCUUCAUCAAAGAGUCACUGUAAUGCUUGAUGCUGCUAUGGCAGUCGAAUAUCUACACCAUGGUCAUAACACUCCUAUAGUUCAUUGCGACCUGAAGCCAGCCAACGUUCUUUUGGAUGAAGAUAUGGUGGCUCAUGUUGGUGAUUUUGGAAUCUCUAAAAUUUUAGCUGUCAGCAAGUCUGUGGCACAUACAGAGACAUUGGGCACUCUUGGAUACAUUGCACCAGAAUAUGGCUCGGAGGGAAUAGUGUCUGCUAGUGGUGAUGUUUAUAGCUACGGCAUCAUGUUGAUGGAGGUUUUGACCAAAAGAAGGCCAACAGAUGAAGAGAUAUGCAAUGGAAAUCUUGACUUGAGGAAAUGGAUUACACUAUCAUUUUCGGGGAGUAUGAUGGACGUUGUGGAUGCCAAUCUUUUUUCUGAGGAAGAACAAAUCACUAGUAAAAGUGAAAUCUGCAUAGCCUCCAUGAUAGAAUUGGGUUUAGACUGCACAAAGGAAACGCCGGAAUCAAGAGUGACUAUGAAAGAAGUAGUGAAGAGGCUUAACAAAAUCAAGAACGCAUUUCUGGAAACAUAGAAGUCAUGGUGUUCUUUGCUGAGCUGCAAAUUAAUAUGAUGCUGUUUGUUUCUUUAAUAAAGUUGUUGUAUAGUACUA